rnacentral:rRNA from 1 species
AUUGAACGCUGGCGGCAGGCCUAACACAUGCAAGUCGAACGAGUGGCGGACGGGUGAGUAAUGUCUGGGAAACUGCCUGAUGGAGGGGGCUAACUACUGGAAACGGUAGCUAAUACAGCAUACCAUCGGAUGUGCCCAGAUGGGUUUAGCGAGUCGGGGGGGGAAAGGCUCACCUAGGGGACGCUCCCUAGCUGGUCGGAGAGGAUGACCAGCCACACUGGCACUGAGACACGGUCCAGACUCCUACGGGAGGCAGCAGUGGGGAAUAUUGCACAAUGGGCGCAAGCCUGAUGCAGCCAUGCCGCGUGUAUGAAGAAGGCUUUCGGGUUGUAAAGUACUGUCAGCGGGGAGGCGUUACCCGCAGAAGAAGCACCGGCUAACUCCGUGCCAGCAGCCGCGGUAAUAC